rnacentral:rRNA from 1 species
UACGUAGGCAGCAAGCGUUGCUCGGAAUCACUGGGCGUAAAGGGUGCGUAGGCGGGUCUUUUAAGUCAGGGGUGAAAUCCUGGAGCUCAACUCCAGAACUGCCUUUGAUACUGAGGAUCUUGAGUUCGGGGAGAGGUGAGUGGAACUGCGAGUGUAGAGGUGAAAUUCGUAGAUAUUCGCAAGAACACCAGUGGCGAAGGCGGCUCACUGGCCCGAUACUGACGCUGAGGCACGAAAGCGUGGGGGAGCAAACAGG